rnacentral:rRNA from 1 species
UACGUAGGGUGCGAGCGUUAAUCGGAAUUACUGGGCGUAAAGGGUGCGUAGGCGGCCUUAUAAGUAUGGUGUGAAAUCUCCCGGCUUAACUGGGAGGGUGCGCUAUAGACUGUGGGGCUAGAGUGUGGGAGAGGAAAGUGGAAUUCCUGGUGUAGCGGUGAAAUGCGUAGAUAUCAGGAGGAACACCGGUGGUGUAAACGGCUUCUGGACCAUAACUGACGCUGAGGCACGAAAGCGUGGGUAGCAAACA